rnacentral:lncRNA from 1 species
AAAGGUCGGAUGGUUUUUGACAACUAAAGUGGCAGCAAAAUCAUGGUUGGAGUCUAGAAGUUCCCCUGAAUUGGUUGCAGCAUAGGUUGUACCUGAAAGGUCCAAUAAUAUCUGUUGUGAUAUCUUUCAUUUAAACCCUUUUCUCCCCUUUCUUUUAAACGGCCAUAUCUUUCUUGAAAGACAGCUUUAUGGUAAAGGAUGCAAUGAAGAGUUCUGCUAUCUUUGUUCUUUCAUCGUAUUAUAAUUCAUUGGAAUGUCAUAUCAAUCUUUAAUCACUGUUUUUUUGCUUACUGCUAAUUUCUUUGUGGUAUAUUUCGCACUUGGUUAACUCUCUCAACAAACACCCUUUCGAAUAUGUGCAAGAUUAGUUUUGUUUAUUAGUAGAUCUGACAAGCAUACUGGAGUUUCAUUAUUAUGCUGCUAAAGGGAGGUGAUAGAGAAGCUAAGGUGAACGAUCAUGUUCAAACAUGCUACGAUGAUAAAAUUUGUUUCUUGAGAGUAGAGAAAAACUAACGAGUGGAAUGGAGAGGAAAAUUAGAUUAUUUUUGUUACCAGAGUGUGACUUAGAUACUCUUUAGAAUUAGAAGAAUCCUGGUCUCUUGUAGAGUUGAAAACAUUGAUGAAUUAGGCUCUCAGAGUCCUACUUGAUGUUGGGUUUUGCCUUGGACAUGUCAAGAUGAAAGAAGAUGUAGAAAACUGGCUGGAUAAAAGGCAGAAGAGGGGGAGAAGACUAACUCGCAAGUGUCAGCAAGAGUUUUGUUGUUCUGGGGACCAAGCUGGAAGGUGCGUAAUACAUCUGUCCAUGGGACUAGGUUGUUAUUGCUGCUGAGAUCGACUCUCGAAAACCUGCUGUUGAGGUAACAAAUCCAGAGACUUUCUAAUUUCUUAGUUUUCUUUAAGUUUCCUUAUUUGGUC